CUCCGUAGGUGAACCUGCGGAGUGAUCAUUACCGAGUUUACAACUCCCAAACCCCUGUGAACAUACCACUUGUUGCCUCGGCGGAUCAGCCCGCUCCCGGUAAAACGGGACGGCCCGCCAGAGGACCCCUAAACUCUGUUUCUAUAUGUAACUUCUGAGUAAAACCAUAAAUAAAUCAAAACUUUCAACAACGGAUCUCUUGGUUCUGGCAUCGAUGAAGAACGCAGCAAAAUGCGAUAAGUAAUGUGAAUUGCAGAAUUCAGUGAAUCAUCGAAUCUUUGAACGCACAUUGCGCCCGCCAGUAUUCUGGCGGGCAUGCCUGUUCGAGCGUCAUUUCAACCCUCAAGCACAGCUUGGUGUUGGGACUCGCGUUAAUUCGCGUUCCUCAAAUUGAUUGGCGGUCACGUCGAGCUUCCAUAGCGUAGUAGUAAAACCCUCGUUAUUGGUAAUCGUCGCGGCCGACGCCGCUAAACCCCAACCUGCGCCGCAUGCACUAAGCGGUGCCGCAGGCAAUAAGCGAGCUUUCGAAAA
rnacentral:rRNA from 1 species